CCUACGGGGGGCAGCAGUGGGGGAUAUUGGGCAAUGGGCGCAAGCCUGACCCAGCAACGCCGCGUGAAGGAAGAAGGCUUUCGGGUUGUAAACUUCUUUUCUCAGGGACGAAGCAAGUGACGGUACCUGAGGAAUAAGCCACGGCUAACUAGGGGCCAGCAGCCGCGGUAAUACGUAGGGGGCAAGCGUUAUCCGGAUUUACUGGGUGUAAAGGGCGUGUAGGCGGGGACGCAAGUCAGAUGUGAAAACCCCGGGCUCAACCUGUGGCCUGCAUUUGAAACUGUGUUGCUUGAGUACUGGAGAGGCAGACGGAAUGCCUAGUGUAGCGGUGAAAUGCGUAGAUAUUAGGAGGAACACCAGUGGCGAAGGCGGUCUGCUGGACAGCAACUGACGCUGAGGCGCGAAAGCGUGGGGAGCAAACAGGAUUAGAUACCCGUGUAGUC
rnacentral:rRNA from 1 species